GACGAACGCUGGCGGCGUGCUUAACACAUGCAAGUCGAACGGAAAGGCCCUGCUUUUGGGGGGUGCUCGAGUGGCGAACGGGUGAGUAACACGUGAGUAACCUGCCCUUGACUGUGGGAUAACUUCAGGAAACUGGGGUUAAUACCGGAUAGGAGCUCCUGCUGCAUGGGGGGGGUUGGAAAGUUUCGGCGGUUGGGGAUGGACUCGCGGCUUAUCAGCUUGUUGGUGGGGUAGUGGCUUACCAAGGCUUUGACGGGUAGCCGGCCUGAGAGGGUGACCGGCCACAUUGGGACUGAGAUACGGCCCAGACUCCUACGGGAGGCAGCAGUGGGGAAUAUUGCACAAUGGGCGGAAGCCUGAUGCAGCAACGCCGCGUGCGGGAUGACGGCCUUCGGGUUGUAAACCGCUUUCGCCUGUGACGAAGCGUGAGUGACGGUAAUGGGUAAAGAAGCACCGGCUAACUACGUG
rnacentral:rRNA from 1 species